rnacentral:tRNA from 1 species
CGAAUUAUAGUCUUUGGGAGGCAUUAUUAUUUACAUUAAUAUUUUAGUUGUUCGAUUCAACUUAAUUUGA